GGUCGGAUAGUGUAAAGGCGAUCACAUCGGAUUUUGAUUCCGAAGAUCUGGGUUCGAGUCCCAGUUUGACCU